UACAGAGGUCUCAAGCGUUGUUCGGAUUCAUUGGGCGUAAAGGGUGCGUAGGUGGCGUCGUAAGUCGGGUGUGAAAUCUCGGGGCUUAACUCCGAAACUGCAUUCGAUACUGCGGUGCUUGAGGACUGGAGAGGAGACUGGAAUUUACGGUGUAGCAGUGAAAUGCGUAGAGAUCGUAAGGAAGACCAGUGGCGAAGGCGGGUCUCUGGACAGUUCCUGACGCUGAGGCACGAAGGUCAGGGGAGCAAACGGG
rnacentral:rRNA from 1 species